rnacentral:rRNA from 1 species
AGAGUUUGAUCAUGGCUCAGGAUAAACGCUGGCGGCGUGCCUAAUGCAUGCAAGUCGAACGGUCUCUCUCGCAAGGGGGAGGUAGUGGCAAACGGGUGAGUAACACGUGGGGAUCUGCCCAGUAGUGGGGAACAACUCCUCGAAAGAGGAGCUAAUACCGCAUACGGUAGGUGUCGAAGGACACCAUACUAAAGCCUUUCGGGGUGCUAUUGGAGGAACCUGCGGCUGAUUAGCUAGUUGGUGGGGUAAAGGCCUACCAAGGCUGUGAUCAGUAGCUGGUCUGAGAGGAUGGACAGCCACACUGGGACUGAGAUACGGCCCAGACUCCUACGGGAGGCAGCAGCAAGGAAUUUUCGUCAAUGGGGGAAACCCUGAACGAGCAACGCCGCGUGGGCGAAGAAGUCUUUCGGGAUGUAAAGCCCUUUUCCCUGUGAAGAAGCAAGACGGUAACAGGGGAAUAAGCAUCGGCUAACUACGUGCCAGCAGCCGCGGUAAUACGUAGGAUGCAAGCGUUGUCCGGAAUUAUUGGGCGUAAAGAGCGCGCAGGCGGUCAAUCAAGUCAGAUGUGAAAUAUCCGGGCUUAACCCGGAGGGGUCAUUUGAAACUGGUUGAGUAGAGUACAGCAGAGGAUAGCGGAAUUCCCGGUGUAGUGGUGAAAUGCGUAGAUAUCGGGAGGAACACCAGUGGCGAAGGCGGCUAUCUGGGCUGAAACUGACGCUGAGGCGCGAAGGCUAGGGGAGCAAACAGGAUUAGAUACCCUUGUAGUCC